UACGUAGGGGGCAAGCGUUUGUCCGGAAUCAUUGGGCGUAAAGCGCGUGUAGGCGGCUCGAUAAGUCUGCUGUGAAAGUCCAGGGCUCAACCCUGGAAUGCCGGUGGAAACUGUCGAGCUAGAGUCCGGAAGAGGCGAGUGGAAUUCCUGGUGUAGCGGUGAAAUGCGCAGAUAUCAGGAGGAACACCAACAGCGAAGGCAGAUCUCUGGGACGUUACUGACGCUGGAGGCGACGAAAGGCGUGGGGAGCAAACAGG
rnacentral:rRNA from 1 species